GUAAAUUGUUCUCCAUCACAUACCUGUGGGAUCACCUCAUUUAACUGUAAUGGCCUCAUCAUUUUAAACAAUGUUAUGUUAUUACUGUGGCAAACUGUGUUUGUCAUUACAACUGACAUACCACUAGGUGGAGAUGUUGUAGUCUCUAAACCAUGACAGGCAAAAUAUAAUAUUCCAGUGGUUGGAAAAUUAAAAGAUAGACAGCUGAUUCUGUAUAUUUCAGCUACUAAAUAAUUUGUCAUCUUCCUAUUAGGUUUCCUGUGCUGCUGUUUUCAGUAAGGCACUUUAAAAAAUGUUCUAGGCUUCUUUCUUUUACAAAUAAUUCCUCUAUACAGCCCACUGUAUUCACUGAAUUACGCAAUCAGAUGUCUCUUUAUUCAACUGUAUAAAGCACACAUGGUAAUGACAAAAAAAAAUGUUGAUUUUGGACCAGAGAAUCAUGGGAAGUUAAGUGCUCUGAGUGCUGUGAGUCAGGGCUGAGAGGAGAAAUAAAACAAACACAGCCCUUUAGGUUUAAACCUGCUUCACUGGACAUGUAUAUCACAGCACUAAAACUGCCAAAAAUGUAUCAUCUUAAGUCUCUGCAAGCCUAUUAUCUGACGCUACAGAACAAUGAACUAGGAUGAAAUGGAGUUAUCACCUAAGGGCUGAUAUGUGUGGGAGAGAAAGCAAGAGCUUUCUGGAAGGAAGGCGGGGAGGAGAUGCCCUGGAAAUCAGUUUGGGAACACUGGUUGCUGGAGGAGGAGGCAGCGAGUUAUAUUAAAGUAGAGCAUACACAGAUAUUCUGUGUUCUGUGUUAGAGGUCAAAGUUUUAAAUGGCUGUAUUCUGUUGGAUUUCCAGAGAUCUUUGUGGAUUUAGAUAUAGUUUGGAGUAAAGCUCUACAGAAGCAGUGGAUUCAUGAAUUUAGUCAUGAACUGAGUAAAUAAUUCAACUGUUUGGAGCUCUACAGUAUUGAUAUUUCAGAGGUUUUUGAUUCAGUGUCUGUUUAAACAUCAUGUUGAGAUGAUUGAGAUGGGUUUAGAAAAUGUAAAAAAAAAUCAUUUUAAAAAAUGUUAUAGAUUAGUGAAUCGUGUAUAGUUUAAUUUAAUACAGGCAGAUUCAUACUGAAUGUUAUCAAUUACCCAAUAUCUGAGGUCACUGUUCUUCUAUUGUUUUUCCUCUCUGCAGCCUCUCUGUUCUCUCCUCUCCUACUUGAGCCUCUUUGACUUAUCUGGAGCAUGUAUGAAGGAUCCCAGCAGGACACCAGUGAGAUGUAUCAGAAAAGAUUCUGGGUCAUGUUUGCAUUUUCUUCUACCAACGGCCAUAAUUCUAACCUUGAAAUCAGGACUUGGCAUCAUGUCUUUGUGGCAGUUGGUGAUAAUACAAGACUUCUUCACCUUAAUGGUUUUCUAAAGCAAAAAUGCUAUGAAAUAUACAUCAAAGUGUGAUGUAUAAGAGCAAAACAGGCACUAUUUUUGGAAUCAGCACCCUAAAAUUAUCUCCUUAUAUGAGCACCAAAACAGAAGGUUUUCCACUGAGCAAGAUGCUGUGGCUUCUAUGGAGGAUACACGUUUGCAUUUUUUAUGAUUUGAGACCCAAUUAGAAGCCAAUUCCACCUCUAUUAUCUCUGAAGCCAGUAUCACAUGAUCUGCGUCUGUCAUCCAGCUGCCUCCAGAAUGCUGAACAGACUAACAUCCAGCGAUGGAUUCCUGUUUGAACUGGUCAGCUGGUGUACAGGCCCCUCUCCCUGCCUUAAAGCCUCAUUGUUCCCAGGGAAAGUGUUCUUGUGCUAGAACCGGCUGUGCCAGAUCCUCUCCAAACACAACAUGCGACUCUGUGGGGCUCCGGGAAAACCAACUGAAAUGCUGAAAAUCUCUGAGCGGUUACAUAUCACAGUUUGUAAAAGAACAAAUUCUUGUGAAGUCUUAUUUGAUUAAUGCUUAAUUAAGCGUGAACUCUCAGUUGGUUUGGCUUGUUAUACAAGAACCAUUUCACAAUAAAGAAUAAUAUAUCCCAAAAUCGUUAAAAAAAAGUUAAAAAAAAGUUCUUAAAAUCUAUUCUUUGUUGAUUUUUUGUUAACUAGUCUAAAAUGUUAUGUGGUAUACACAUCAAGUAAAAAUGCCUUUAGUUAAACCUUGAUUUUUUCUUUCCCCCCAAACAAAAAAGUUUUUAAUAAAAAGUAAAACAUCUUUGUUGUUGAAUGUCAUUCUUUUAAUUCUUUUUUCUUCAUUGAUAUCAGAACAGUUGUGUCAUCCUGACAUUUUUGGCUAUUACAAAAAUUAUUCAGAAAUUAAAUUAAUUGUAUGAAUUACAAUUUUAAAAUGUAAAAUAAAUAGAAAGAAAAAAAGCAUGG